rnacentral:rRNA from 1 species
AGCGAACGCUGGCGGCAGGCUUAACACAUGCAAGUCGAGCGGGCCUUUCGGGGUCAGCGGCGGACGGGUGAGUAACGCGUGGGAACGUGCCCUCUGGUUCGGAAUAACUCAGGGAAACUUGAGCUAAUACCGGAUACGCCCUUUUGGGGAAAGGCUUGCUGCCGGAGGAUCGGCCCGCGUCUGAUUAGCUAGUUGGUGAGGUAACGGCUCACCAAGGCGACGAUCAGUAGCUGGUCUGAGAGGAUGAUCAGCCACACUGGGACUGAGACACGGCCCAGACUCCUACGGGAGGCAGCAGUGGGGAAUAUUGGACAAUGGGCGCAAGCCUGAUCCAGCCAUGCCGCGUGAGUGAUGAAGGCCUUAGGGUUGUAAAGCUCUUCUAUCCGGGACGAUAAUGACGGUACCGGAGGAAUAAGCCCCGGCUAACUUCGUG